rnacentral:rRNA from 1 species
UACAGAGGUCUCAAGCGUUGUUCGGAUUCAUUGGGCGUAAAGGGUGCGUAGGCGGCGCGGUAAGUCGGGUGUGAAAUUUCGGAGCUUAACUCCGAAACUGCAUUUGAUACUGGCGUGCUUGAGGACUGGAGAGGAGACUGGAAUUCAUGGUGUAGCAGUGAAAUGCGUAGAGAUCAUGAGGAAGACCAGUGGCGAAGGCGGGUCUCUGGACAGUUCCUGACACUGAGACACGAAGGCCAGGGGAGCAAACGGG